UUGGUUUAUACUAAAAUAUAUUAAAAUAUAUUGUUUAUAUUUGGUUUAUACUUUUUUGGUUUAGCCAUAUGACACCCCACCGAACUGAUAGGAUGCGCAAGAACUUUAUACAAUUUAACCUUUCAUAUAUUCACUUUUGAUGGAUAUAUAUUUUUAUUCUUUUAUUUUAUUUUUUUUAUUAUUAUUUUUUUUAUCAGGGCUCCACUGAAAAUCACUUUUGUGAGUGGACCCCCUGACUAAAUAUUGUAAUUAUUAUUAUUAUUAUUAUUAUUAUUAUUAUUAUUAUUAUUAUUAUACAGUAUCGCAAUAUCAAUUAACAAGAUAUGCGAGCGGUUGAGCUGAUUAAUCCACUAAUGCCUACAUAAGACUCGCCCUCAUAAAUUAAAUCAUCUGGUGUAAGACAGAGGGAAAUAAAAUACUAAAGUAGGUCGCAUUAUUGGGUGCAUGGCGUUGCCGGUUAUGGAAUACCAACAGAUAAGAUAUUUUACAUAUUAUUAGCACUGAUGAAGAUCCGGGCUUAGGGAUCGAAAGCUUUGCAGUAAUAAAUUUACGUGGUGUUUCCACAAACAAAACUAUUAUAUGUUUUAUCGCCAUGCAAACAUACAAACAACUUAUUAGAUAAGAUAUUCUAGCUAGCAAUUCAUACCGACGAGUCUCCCCUUUACGAGUAAAAUGAUACAAUUAUAUAGAAAAAGUAAAUAUAUUACUCUGUGAUAUUUUUACAAAGAGUAAAAAUUUGUCAAUUGAUGUUAAAAUUUGCGGGACUAUAUCGGACGAAAUGAUCAAAUUUUUGUUAAAAUUUGGAUAAAAU
rnacentral:lncRNA from 1 species